GUCUAUGACUGGACCACCCUGAAUGUGCCUGAUCUCAGAAGCUUAGCAGGGUUGGCCUGGUCAGUUCUCAGUUGGGAGACUGCCCAGGAGACCAGGUGCUAUCGGCU
rnacentral:rRNA from 1 species